rnacentral:lncRNA from 1 species
AUUAUUUAUGAUUUAAGAAUCAUCAAGUAUACCUUUCCAUUAUUCCCCAUUAGGAUCUCAAAAAGCUUCACGGCUUUAGUAAGGGAUCUCUAUUAUUUUCUUAUACAUUCUAAACAAAUUUGUAGAUAAAUUAAUAAUGAAUGUUGAUUUAUUCAGAUGCAUGAAAAGUGAAAAGUGUUUGAAAUUGGAUGUUUUUCGCAUGACUAUGUGAUUUAGUUAUUUAAAUUCAUGUUAUAAUCUUUGAAAUGAAACUAU